AACAAUUUGUCUUGGUUUUUCAAUAAAUCAAUUUCUAUUUAGUCUAAAGCCACAGAGGUUAUGCCCGAUUUUUGAAGUUUCAAACUAAACUAGGAAACUCAUCAAAUCUUAUUUUAGGUACGUUUCAAAUAUCAAACAAAGUUUUCCAAUUUUUUGAUUGGUCUCCCUGUUCCUCAGUAUGCUGUUAGCCAACUUUUGGCUCCGGCGAGGGGGGUUCUUCCUUUCCAGUGCUGCUUAACUUGUUUUCCCCUUGCUUUGAUCCAUGUUUUUUAAGGCUAUGCCUGUAUGAGUUGUUUUUCUCUUUGCCUUGAGUCUUUGUUCUGGAUCUCUAAUUUCUGCAAUGGCUACUUGGAGAUUUUAGGCGACUGGCUCUCAAGAUUGUUCUUGUUGUCCAACGGUGAGCUUGCAUGGCCGGAGGUGGCGGCGGCGCAUGAAGAGUUUCUGUCUUCGAGCUAUUGUUGUUCCCAGGGUUACAGUGGAUUGGACUUUGGGCUUGUUUGUGUACGGACUUUGGACCUGUUUUGUAUUUGGGUUCUUCUAUAUUAUCUGUAUCUCCAAUUGUUUCUUUAGUCUGAACCGUUGUAAUGGGCUUUUCACCCUUUAUUCUAAUGAAAGUUUAUCUUCCAACAAAAAAAAAAUCCUUAAUUUAAAAAAACAAACAAACGAACAUUAUCUAUCCACGGCGCGUUUGAAGUGUCCAACUUGAUACGUUUGGCACAGUGAAGUCUUCUCCAAAAAACGUGUUAAAUACAUCAAAUAAUGCAUUAACACGAAGCACUAGUGGUAGAAUAGUACCCUGCCACGGUACAGACCCGGGUUCGAUUUCCGGCUGGUGCAAAAAUGUUUUAGAGCAAUGACGAAGUCAGUGCUGAUUUUUGAUGGAAGAUGAAAUCUAGCGCAACAGAGCUGUAAUUGUUCUUAACCUUUAAACCCUUUUCCCUUUUUCACAUUUAAUUUAAUUUAAUUUAAUUUAAUUAUAUUUAGCUCUUCCCAUCCUAUUAUAUACGUUUAUAUAUAAAAAUUAAAGAGUCAAAUCGUGCUGCUCCAAUUUUCAAGCAAACUCCUACGGUCACAAGUAUCAAGUUGUGUCAUUGUGAUAAAUAUGGAAGGAAAAAAAAAUAAAAUGUAUAUUUAUAUUUUAUUAUUUUUAUCCAUUACACACAUCAAUCAACUUAAUGGUAAUUUAAAAAUAUUUAAAUUUUAAAAAAUAUUAUUUUAAACACUUAAACAUUUAAAAUUUUAUUUUUAAACACAAUUUUAAAAUUAUAAAUUUAAAAAAUCUCUCCAAUACAACUUUGAAACUAUAAAUUUAAUCAUAAAUUUGAAAAUUACUUAGUCAUGAAUUUAAUAAAAUUAUAUUUAAAAAUAAAAUUUUUUAAAAAAUUUAAAAUUAAUAAAUUUAAUAAAUAAAAAUAUUAAAAUACAACUAUACAAAUAUACAUUUAACAAAAAAAUUAUACUAUUACUUGUGAUUAAGUUAACCAGUUGACCAAGUUUUGAUGGAAUUUCAUAAUUUAGAUUUUUUGGAUAACCUAAAUCUUUUAUAAAUUUAGUUUUCAAAUUUCUAAAGUUGAAAAUAAUAUAAUACUUUUUUCGCCCGUAAUUUUUAUUUAUAUUAUUUUUUUAUAUUAUAGUAAUAUAUGAAGCCACUAUUUUAUGUUAUUUCCAACACAAUAUUUCAUUAAGUUCUUAUUUCAUAUCCAUUUAUUAUUAGAAAAGAAUUGAAUUCUAUUAAUGAAAUUCAAUUUAUUUUUAUUCAUAAAAAAUUAUUUGUUUAGAAUUAAUUUAAAUAUAACAGAAUUCAAUCAAAUGUUUUACACUAGAUAAAUUAAUAAUAAAUUUAAAUUGAUUUAAUGUAUUUAUCUCUAUUAUUUUUAAAUUAGAUAACAAUUAUUUUUAUCAUAUUGAUUGAAAAAUCAUUAUUAAUAUUUUUAUAACAUUUAAACCUAAAUUUUACAUAAUAUUUUAUCAUUAAAAAUAUAGACAUUGUUUUUUUAAUUAACAAAAUAAUAUAAUAAUUUUUUUAAUAUUAAUUAUAAAUGUAUCAAAUAUUAAUAGUCAAUAUUAAAUUAAAAUAAUUUUUGUACAGAAUAAUUAUCAAUUAAAAAUAAGAAAUAAAAUUAAAAUUAAAAUAAAUAAUUAAAUAAUGGAUGAGAGGAAAAGAAAAAAAAAAUUCAAGAGUUAAUUAAGUAAUUUUAAUGUACGUAAUUUAAGUGAAAUCAUUUCUUGUAAAAUUCUAAUAAUUUUAACGAGAUUUAUUCUCAUAAAAAUUUAAGAGAAUUAAAUUUUUACAUUAUUAAUUUUAUCAAAUAUAAAAAUAUAGAAAAAAAUAUUCCUUUUAAAUUUUUUUAAAAUUAGACUUUCCAAACAAAGAUUAAGUGUUAUUUUCUAGUGAAUAUUUAAAAUAUCUAUUAAUAUUUAAGAUGAAUAUAAUUAAAAAAUUAAUAAAAAAAUAUUUUUUUAAUAUGUGUAGAAAAAUAAAAUGAACAAAACAUUUGAAAUUGAGGGAAUAAUUACAUAUCUCUCAUCAUUAUCGACUUGUAAAAAAAAUCAAGAAUUAGGAAAAAAUUGUAGAACAGUAUGUUUCUAAACAGAAGAGAAAAAAGAAUCCAACGAGUCUAGAAUCUCAAAGACAGUUGAUAAAUACACCAUGAAAAACUUCUCCAGUAUGAUGGAUUCAGUUUAAUUAUUUAUUUUUUUAAUAAAAUAAAUUUUAACGAACUAAUAAAUUGAAGAAAAAAAAAACAGAAAUGGAAACAUAGUGAAUUGAGAGUGUAUAAUACAUACUAAUGUAUUAUUUAUCCAAAAUCAUAUAAUUAGUAAAUAAAUAAAAAAGCAUACUGUGCAUUGAUAAUCAACAUUAAAAUUAAUAAAUUUUUAUUAAAAAAAUAACCCUCACAUCUAAGCUCAUCUGGAAUAGUCUAAUUGACAUUAUUUUAUUUUUAGAGUGUAAAAAAGGAUAAAAUAUUGAAUUUGAAUCUUUUUAACUAUUUAUUUAUUUUAAGAUAUUCACAAGUUUGUACCACUGUCCUUGUCAAUCAACUACAAUUGUUGCUCCAUGAAAUUACCGAAUAUUCGUGGUCAAGCUUGUUUGCCCCCAAUUUAGUUCGCUUGGGCAAAUUCUAGUUAAUACAAAGAAUAGACUCACACAUUGUGCUCUAAUAGGAUUGAGGCCCAAUUUUUUUAGAGCGAAUUUAGCCAAGGCCCUGGAUACCCGUCGUCAUCAAUAUUCCAUUAAUUUAUACUAAACUUUUUAAUAUAUCAAAUUGAAUUAAUCGAUUGAAAUUUAAUUUUUCAUUUUGAAUUUUUCGCCCUCUGUUUAGAGAUAUAGAGAAUAAAUUAAUAAAAAAUGUCAUAGUAAUUUUUUUUUUUAGAUAAAGCCUUCAGCAGUAAUAUAUUUAUAUUAGAUGUGAUAGUAGUAUCAAGAUAAAAACUAUAUAACUUUAAAAAUAAUUUGUUUUAGCUUAUAAACUAAUAUCGCGAGUUUAUAAAUUUUAAAAAUAAUUUAAUCUAUUUAUAUAAGCUAACUUGCAAGUAAAAAAAAAAAAAUAAAAUGGUUCAAUUUUUUAUUUUGAUACUUAAAACACCAUCCUUAUAAAGUAAUUUGACUAAGUAUUUUAAUAUAUAAUUAUUGUGUAAUUUUUAAAAUUUUACUAUGUAAUGUAUAUGCUUAGAGCUUCUUCUUUUUUAUCAAACAUGUUUAAAUAUUUUUCUAAACCACUGCCAUGCUUUAUGGCCGUCUCAACUAUAAAGCUAUAAUAAUCAAAUUUAAGAUAAAUAUAGAUUUAAAAUGAAUUUUAAUUAUUUUUAAAGUAUAUUUUACUUUUAAAGUUAUUAAUUAAAUUUGAAUUAAAAUAAGAUAGGGACUGUGAAUGUUUCCUUGCUAAUUCUCUGUGCCAUUUGCAUGAAUAUUCAAAAUUUCACUUUCCACGACCUUUCUCUUUUGACAUAGCAACAACACAAAUUUUAAUUAAUUUUUUAAUUUAAAAAUUAAAAUAUUUUAUAUAUUUUUAAAAAUAUAUUAAUUAAUCACUGUAUUAAUUUUAAUGUUAAGUAUUUUAUAAUUUAAUUUUAUAAUUUAAAAAACUGAUAAAUUCUAUUAAUUAAUUUUUAUAUUAAAAUUAUUUUAAUUUUUUUAUAAUAUUUAAUAAUUAAAAUUAAUGAAAAAAAGAAUGUAUAAGCUUUUUAAAUUAUAAAUAAAAUUUUAAUAUAAUUUUUAAAAUUUAUAAGCCAACUAAUUAAUUUUUCUAAAAUAUAGAUUAAAUAGUAAAUUUUUUAUAUAUAAUAAAAAAUAUUAUUUUUUAAUAUAAAGAGUAAAUAAAUUUUAUUUUAAAAAAAAUAAUUUUGAAUGUCAUUGAUCUUCCGUUUAUUUCUCAAAAAAUAUACUAAAUUUAAAGAAAAUAAUUCUUGUUUUCAAAAGGUAUAAUUAUUUUCUGAAAUAAUUCCGUUUAUUUCACGCAAACUAUUGCCGACAAACUCUGUACGUUGAAACAGUCAUAAACUAUAAGUGUAUGUAUCUAACAAUAAAUAUAUCUGAUUAAAUUUGACUAAACUCGAGAGUUCUUAAGUUUUAAUUUUUCGAUCCUCGCUAAAAAAAAAAACUUUAUCUUUGUGUUUUUGCUUGCUUGCUUCUUUUUGAAGAGUCGGCGAAAAAACGCCAGGCGGAAAAGCUCAAGUGUCCGGUUAUCUAUUUUUCUGUCUGCGAUUGAAACGAUGUCGUCAUCGAAGAAAAUCACCUUGAAGAGCAGCGACGGUGAGCUCUUCGAGGUGGACGAGGCGGUGGCGCUCGAAUCUCACAUAAUCAAACAUGCGAUCGAGGACGUUGGCGCUGAUGACAGUAUCCCGCUGCCAAAUGUGACGAGCAAGAUCCUGGCGAAAGUGAUCGAGUACUGCAAGAAGCACGUCGAGACUCCCAAGCCCGACGCCAAUCAUGAGCUGAACACCUGGGACGCUGAGUUUGUGAAAGUUGAUCAGGCCACGCUCUUCGAUCUCAUUCUGGUCGGUAGUCUUCUCUUCCUUUAUUGUUAGAUCUGUUCCUUGAUUCCUUUUUUGCUUUGUCAAUUCCUUUUUUUUUUUUGGAUUUUCUAUGAAUGUGAUUUGGAUUCUUUAUUUAGGUGGGAAUUUUAGUUGAAAAUAAUGUGUCUAUUGAUGUGAUGCAUAUGGAUUAUGGUUUUCAUUUAGGCCUACUUUCUGCUUAGACAGAUGGAUUUUUUGUUCUCAUUUUUUACUUGUUUCUUGUUGCUUAGAAUCUAUAUGUAUAUAUAUGUGUGUGUGUGUGUGUGUUUUGUUUCUGCUGUAACUUGAGGACGUUUCAAUAUAACAAAAUGCUUGAGAUAAUAAUCUUAAUGAAAUUAUGGAUUAUAAUGUUGAUAAAUGCUAUCGCUUUUAGAUUUUGAUGUUUUUAUUUAGCUAUCCUUAUAAAUUAUUAUCCUGAUGCAGAUCUAUUAAUAUUGUUUAAUUUAUGAUUUUUAAGAACAUAUUAGUUACUGACAAGAAAUUAGAGCAUUUAUCAAUCAGUAAGCUUUCUAUUAGUAGAGAAAGGUAACAGGAUAAAGUUGUAGUUUAUUUGGAGUAAAGUGUUGAUUAAAUUGCUUUAAUUACGAAUCAACAUCAUUGUUUGUAAUAAAAAAAAAAUGGUAAUCGUUUAUGACAUUGUAUUACCUGUUGAAAAAGAUAUCUAAAGAUUUCAAGUUGAAAUCUAAUGCUAUCAACUUUGAUCCUUCUUGGUAAACAUUGUGAAUAGCAUCUAGCUAUUAUUAAUAUUGAGCUGUCAAAAAUUGCCUAAAAUUGCCUAGGUUGGUAGAGGGGUCCAUCAUAAGUUUGCCGGUAAGAUUGUAAUAUUAACAAUUUACGCGCUACAUUCGGUAACUUGCUAAAGGUAGAUCAAAAUUCAUAUUUUGGCCUUAUUAAGUUGUCUACAUUAGUUAAGGAGAGAACCUUUUUUUUAUCCUUAGUCAGCAGAUCUGUUAAGCUGCUUAGUUGUAAUCUAUUCUCAUCCAUGCAAUCGCAGUUCAGUCCUUACAGUAUGUUUUCAGUUCAGUCAUUACAGUAUGUUUUCUUUCAUUUUCUUAUUAUCGGUCAAGAAAGAAGCACAAAAAACCAAAUUAGCUUUUUUGUUGCUUGCUAAAAUUGUGAAGGACUCGAAGUAUUAGUAAUUUUAAUGUAUCUACCAAUCAAUUCAGUCCAUUUUCACAUAGUCCAUCUUUUAGACACAUUUCUUGUGAAACUUAUGAGUUUAUGUACUAUUGACAUUAUUUGUACUCCCAAGCCUGACGCCAAUCAUGAGCUGAUGACCUGGGACGCCGAGUUUGUGAAAGUUGAUCAGGCCACGCUCUUCGAUCUCAUAGAGAUCGGUAGUCUUCUCUUCCUUUAUUGUUAGAUCUGUUCCUUGAUUCCUUUUUUGCUUUGUUAAUUCCUUUUUUUUUUUUUUUGGAUUUUCUAUGAAUGUGAUUUGGAUUCUUUAUUUAGGUGGGAAUUUCAGUUGAAAAUAAUGUGUCUAUUGAUGUGAUGCAUAUGGAUUAUGGUUUUUAUUUAGGCCUAUUUUCUGCUUAGACAGAUGGAUUUUUUGUUCUUAUUUUUUACUUUGGUUUCUUGUUGCUUAGAAUCUAUAUGUAUAUAUAUAUAUAUAUAUGUGUGUUUUUUGUUUCUGCUGUAACUUGAGGACGUUUCAAUAGAACAAAAUGCUAGAGAUAAUAAUCUUAAUGAAAUUAUGGAUUAUAAUGUUGAUAAAUGCUAUCGUUUUUAGAUUUUGAUGUUUUUAUUUAGCUCUCCUUAUGAAUUAUUAUCCUGAUGCAGAUCUAUUAAUAUUGUUUAAUUUAUGAUUUUUAACAACAUAUUAGUAACUGACAAGAAAUUAGAGCAUUUAUUAAUCAGUAUGCUUUCUAUUAGUAGAGAAAGGUAACACAGGAUAAAGUUGUAGUUUAUUUGGAGUAAAGUGUUGAUUAAAUUGCUUUAAUUAUGAAUCAACAUCAUUGUUUGUAAUCUGCUAUGCAUUUAAAAAAAAAAUGGUAAUCGUUUAUGACAUUGUAUUACCUGUUGAAAAAGAUAUCUAAAGAUUUCAAGCUGAAAUCUAAUGCUAUCAACUUUGAUCCUUCUUGGUAAACAUUGUGAAUAGCAUCUAGCUAUUAUUAAUAUUGAGCUGUCAAAAAUUGCCUAAAAUUGCCUAGGUUGGUAGAGCUGUCCAUCAUAAGUUUGCCGGUAAAAUUGUAAUAUUAACAAUUUACACGCUACAUUUUGUAACUUGCUAAGCUGCUUAGUUGUAAUCGUUUCUCAAGUAGCUUCCAUGAAUAAGCUGCUCUAUUCUCAUCCAUGCAAUCGCAGUUCAGUCCUUACAGUAUGUUUUCAGUUCAGUCAUUAAAGUAUGUUUUCUUUCAUUUUCUUAUUAUCGGUUAAGAAAGAAGCACAAAAAACCAAAUUAGCUUUUUUGUUGCUUGCUAAAAUUGUGAAGGACUCGAAGUAUUAGUAAUUUUAAUGUAUCUACCAAUCAAUUCAGUCCAUUUUCACAUAGUCCAUCUUUUAGACACAUUUCUUGUGAAACUUGUGAGUUUAUGUACUAUUGACAUUAUUUGUACUGGACAAUGGAUAUGCUAACAUCACAUUGUUUUUGGUCUUUUUUUUUUUAAAAAAAAUUUCACGAUUGAUGAACCUUCUUCUGGUUAUCGACUUUGGUUUUGAAUCACAUUGAUGCAGCAUUAGAAUUAGUAAAUCUCUUGGUUUCUAUAUAGUAUUUGAGUUGAUUUGAUAGUGUAAUUUUCCUUAACCUUUAGCUUUUCUUAGCUUUAACAACUGGGAUAUGCUUUACUAUCCGACCUUAUUAAAGUUCACAGUUGUUUUAUAUAUACUAUUUAAAUGAAUGCGAAUAUGUGCUGAGCUUUCAAAUAUAUAUUCUUUUACUAAUUUGGCACUUCUUUAAAUGUCACGUAAAGAACUGCUGACCUGGAUUAUGUUAUUGAAUCUUUAUUUGUCACAUAGUUAAGACAUCACUUCUGAUGUUUACGUGCAUUCAUAGAUUAAGGAAAUUUACAAGACAUAAAAGUACAAAUGUAAAAAUCGUCAAUGCUGCAUUACAAAUAUUGGCAUUUCAGAUUGGUUACUUUACUUUUAGGUUUUCAACUGGCAUACUUCUGGUUAGAAUAGUGCAUUGCUUAUGCUGUUUUAAAUCUCCAUCUGAAAUGCUCAUAAUUUGAAAUUCGAUUCUCAUUCUUAUUUACAAUGUAGUCAUGUUAUUACUUGGUGGACUUAAUUACAAUCAGUUGAAACCUAUAAAAUGCCAUAGCCUAUAGACACUCUUGUUCUUAGGGUAUAUGUGACAAGAUGGCAUUUGAACAAUAGGAAUGAUACUAUUGUGGGUUGUAGCCCUGGCUAAAACUCUUAUUUCGCCAUUUGAUUAUGUCUCCAGGCAGCCAACUAUUUGAACAUCAAGGGCCUGGUGGACCUGACAUGCCAGACUGUUGCAGACAUGAUCAAGGAUGAUUUGACCCCUGAGGAGAUCCGGAAGACGUUUAACAUGAUGAAUGAUUUGACCCCUGAGGAAGUGGAAGAGGUUUGUCGGGCGCACCCGUGGGCAUUUGAAUGAAGUACUUAUAGGGUAGGUUAAAGUACCAAAUAUGGAAUGUUUUGAUGGAACAUUUGUUCUAAUAGUAAAUAGUAAAUGAACUUUGUAGGGUUAUCUUAGCACCGAUAUAGUAAUAGACUUUUAAGCCUUUAGUUUCGAUUACUUCUAUGAACUUGCGAUCGCAUAUAAACGUAAAUAGUGGUUGGGUUCUCUUGGGGGAGGGAUUGGUAGUGAAUGGGCUAUCCUUGCAAUAGAUCGCUUACUGUUAUCAAUACGGUCUGUUUUAGCAGUCUUUACAGAUGCCAAUUUCCUUUGCUACUUGGCAAGCUUUCUUCUUUUUUUUUUUUUGUUUUUGAAUUGCGAGGCAGUCAAACCAGCAAAUUGACCUUAGCUGGUAAGGUAAAGCGAGGAGCCACUAUAAUGUGAUUGACUAGAAAAGUUAGUUUAGCCGGAUAGUGUGCUGCUGCAUUUGGAUUCCUCCAAACAUAAUUAAACUCUAUCCGACAAAAGUGAGGAAUAAAGAGCUUGACAGUGUGAACUGUGGCCCCAACAUCCCGAGGAAGUAUGACCGAGGGCAUUGAUCAAAGCAUCAGGAGUCAAGAUUCAAGAACAAUGGCAGGAAAGCCUCUACAGUUCACUAAUAGCAUAGCUUCAAGAAGUGUUUUGGCUUUCACAGCCACUAGGGAGGAGCAGGCUAGGCUAUAAUUUUUAGCAACGCCAUCCGCUAUCUGGCUGAAGUGUUCUCACCUCUACAAGUACUGAAGUAUGAAAAUGAUCCUCUACAAGCAGUAGUUUAGAAAUUCCUGCUGGGGCCAGGCAGCCGCGAGUUGCCUCGGUUAGGUGUCUGAUUUUCUGCAAUCAAACUGAAAUCUGAAUAGACCGAGGCACUCUGUGAACUAUAUAGCCAAGGGAUACGGGGUGCAGUGAUCAAUUAUGACUAUUUCUCUCUUUCCCAAUUUGCCCGCAAGUAAUGGCUGCAUACAAUAAAAUGUCCUCCAGAAUAUCAUGGGAACCAUCCGCUAGGUGCGACCACCAUUAAGGAAAGCCAAGAGAGUUUGGUCUAUGAGCGCAGUGGCUGGAGAGCCAAGCUGCUUGCGUGUAGCAUACCAUUAAAGUAUGCUCAGUAGUUUGUGAACCAGUAGCUAUCUUAUGGAGGGCUUUUUGCUUUUCCAAGUGAAAAAAAAAAAAUAUUCUCAAAUCCUGGUCCGAUAAAAAAUUUUUCUCGAAUCAGAAUGAAUUUUAACUCUACUGUACUUUUGAAGUGCGGUAGAGAUUACCACACUUCAAAAGUGCGGUAAGGGAGAAUAAUUAAAAAAAAAAUUAUUUAAAUACAUUAUCGCACUUUUGAGGUGCGGUAAUGCAUGACUGUGGCAGCAUUCAAUCAACGUAAAAAUAUAAAUUUAAUUUUUAUUUAAUUAAUUUUAUUUAUUUAAUUAUAUAUUAAAUUUGUAAAAUAUAAUUAUAUUAAUAUUAAUUAAUAAAAUUUUAUUUAAUUAAUUAUUAUAUUUUAUUAAUUUAAUUAAUUUUAUAUUAAAUUUAUAAAAAUAUAGUUAUAAAAAUUAUAUUAAUAUUAAUAUUAAUUAAUUUAAAUUAUUUGUAAUAUAAUAUUAUAUUUAUUAUAUUUAUUAUUUUAUUUUAUUAAUUUAUAUAAUUUAAUUAAUGUUAAGAAUAUAUAUAAAUAUAUUAAUAUAGUAUUCACAUACUUAAUCUGAUAGUAUGUAUAUUUAAGUAAAUUUAAUUAUGUAUAUUUACUCUCCAAUUUAAAUGCCAAUGAUAUAUAUAUAAUUUAUUUUAUUAAUUAUAUUUAUCAACGUAAAAAGUAUACAAAAUUAAAUAAAAAAAUACAUCUAAAUAUUUAGGAACAGUAAUAUAAUAAAAAUAAAUUAAUAUAUAUACAAAUAAUAAGGUCAAAAAAUAAUAUUAAAGAUGAACAAACAUACUCUCUCGUAUUAUAUAGACUAUUAUUUUUUAUUUAUAAAAUAUUUUGAUAUGAAAAAAUAUAAAAUAAAAUAAAUUUUAAUUUUUUUAUAAUUUUAUAAUUUAUAAAUAUUUAUAAAUUAACUGUAUUAAAAAUAAUAAAAUAAAAAAAUAAAUAUAAAAAAUAUAAUAUUUUAUUAUAAAUUAAUUAAAAUAAUUAAUAUUUAUAAUAAUAUUAAUAUAAUUUUUAUAAUUAUAUUUUAUAAAUUUAAUAUAUAAUUAAAUAAAUAAAAUUAAUUAAAUAAAAAUUAAAUUUAUAUUUUUAAAUUGAGAGCCGCACUCAUGCAAUACCGCGCGUUAAACGUGCAGUAAUAUAUUUAAAUAUUUAUUUUUUUAAUCAUUCUCUUACCGCACUUAAAAAAUGCGGUAAGCUCUAUGCACUUCAAAAUUGCAAUAUAGUUAAAAUUUACCCUGCUUUGAUAAAAACUUUUUACUGCACCAGGAUAUGAGAAUUUUUUUUUUUUUUUCACUUGGAAAAGCAAAAAUCCCUAUACAUGUGAUUGACCUGUGUUUGCAACUGUAAAGACGAAUUGCUAUUUGAACAUUAAAGUUUCGGGAAAUACUCUGAAAUAGAAUGAGAACAUAACAGUUAUUCCAUCUUGACUGGUAAUUAAAAUAACUAUAUUAUGAAAGGAUAAUAAGAAAAAUAAUCUAUUAUUUAAAAUUAAUAUGAUAUAGAUUUAAAAUAUAAAAUAAAUAAUAGUUAUUACAUUACUAUCCCAUUUAUUUCAUUAGUUAAAUAUUUAACCUCAAAUUGAGCCAAAAAAAAAAAACCAAUUAAAAUCGAAGUAGAACAAUUUGUCUUGGUUUUUCAAUAAAUCAAUUUCUAUUUAGUCUAAAGCCACAUAGGUUAUGCCCGAUUUUUGAAGUUUCAAACUAAACUAGGAAACUCAUCAAAUCUUAUUUUAGGUAUGUUUCAAAUAUCAAACAAAGUUUUCCAAUUUUUAGAUUGGUCUCCCUGUUCCUCAGUAUGCUGUUAGCCAACUUUUGGCUCCGGCGAGGGGGUUCUUCCUUUCCAGUGCUGCUUAACUAGUUUCCCCUUACUUUGAUCCAUGUUUUUUAAGGCUAUGCAUGUAUGAGUUGUUUUUCUCUUUGCCUUGAGUCUUUGUUCUGGAUCUCUAAUCUCUGCAAUGGCUACUUGGAGAUUUUAGGCGACUGGCUCUCAAGAUUGUUCUUGUUGUCCAACGGUGAUCUUGCAUGGCCGGAGGUGGCGGCGGCGCUUGAAGAGUUUCUGUCUUCGAGCUAUAGUUGUUCCCAGGGUUACAGUGGAUUGGACUUUGGGAUUGUUUGUGUACGGACUUUGGACCUGUAUUGUAUUUGGGCUCUGUCUAUAUUUUCUGUAUCUCCAAUAGUUUCUUUAGUCUGAACCGUUGUAAUGGGCUUUUCACCUUUUAUUCUAAUGAAAGUUUAUCUUCUGACAAAAAAAAAAACCUUAAUUUAAAAAAACAAACAAACGAACAUUAUCUAUCCACCGCGCGUUUGAAGUGUCCAACUUGAUACGUUUGUCACAGUGAAGUCUUCUCCAAAAGCGUUAAAUAUGUCAAAUUAUGC
rnacentral:lncRNA from 1 species